CUAUAUAGAAAAAGUAUAUUGAAAAGAUAGUUUCUUGGCACAAUAUCGUAGACUACAGAAACUAUUGAUGGUGGUUUCGAAUUGAGUUUAACAGUCAAAAGGCCUCUUGGUACAGUUAGGGGUGAAAACGAACGGAAAAAAUCCCGUUCCGACCCGUACCGUUUUCUACAUUUGACCCGAUCGUUUCCGUAUUUACGAAAAAAUAUGGAAACGAGACGGAAACGGGAGAGAGCUUAUUCCGUCCGUUUUUGUGGGAUCCCGUUUUUCCGGAUUGAACCCGUAUUUUAUUCCGUAUUUGAUAAAUAUGGGACGAGUCUAAGGGUGUGUUUGGUUUGACUUUUGGCUUUUGGCUUUUGAUUCCUAAAAGACAAAAGUCAACCAAAGGGUUAGAUCUAGGAAGCAGCUUUUUCUAAAAGCUGGCUUUCUCACAGUGCAAAUCUGAAAGCACCCCUGAACCUGCUUUUAGUGGCUUUUCGAAUGGAACUGUGAAAACAUAUAUCGAAGAACUUUUAACGACUUUUAGUGGUUUCCACCAAACAGUUUUUAGCUUUUUAACGGCUUACAGCCUACAGCAGCUUUUUCCACAGCUCACAGCCCACAGCAACUUUUUUCACAGCCACAGCCCAACCAAACAGACCCUAAUAUGCAUCAGUGUAUAAACUAAAUCCUCGUGUAUUUAGGUGACAAAUUAUAGCACAAUUGACCAUUGUAACCACCAGCUCUUUUCAAAUGACAAGUGAUCUAAAGUCUUAAACAAUAUCGGAUGUAGCUAAAUGUACACAUUUAGCAACCAAACAACAAUAGAAUGUUGCCUCUCUAUAUCUAUUUGGUUUAUGUUAUUGUUCUGCCAAUCAAUCACUAGUAAACAUCAAUAACAUUUCUAUUUGUAUUAAAUUAUGUGUUUCCGUUAGUAUUUUCGUUUCCGUUCGUUUUCGCAAUUCCGUUUAUCCCGCUCCCGUUUCCGUUCCCGACUAUUCCGGACCCGAUCCCGUUUCCAGUGAUAAAAUACGGAUACGAAAACGGGAGAGGGGUUUUUCCGUCCGUUUCCGUCCGUUUUCAUCCCUAGGUACAGUGUCUUCCCAAUGUACCUUUUGCAUUAUUAAUUAACCCACUCAUUUCUUUUCCACUAGUAAAUGUUUUAAACUAGUGGAGUCAUAUCUGAG
rnacentral:lncRNA from 1 species